AUUUAAAUCUCUAAACUAAAAAAGUAGAAUGGUUUGACCCCACCAUUUUGACUAGAGAUAUUUCAAUUCUCAUAGUGAAGAUUAAUAAUACAAAUAAUCCACGCAAAAUGGAUAACGGUUAAAACUAUAUGUGAUACAACUUACGAUGACCAAAAAUUGUUGGAAGAAAAAUAUUUUGGAAAAUAUUUUGUUGUGUUUAAUUUGAUCCUGAAAAGUUGACUUAAAGAAAUACUGAUCCCUAAAGAAAACUUACGAUAGCAGAAUCUGUAGUCAGUUAAUUUUGAUGUGGCCCAAAACAGAGUCAUUUAAAUAAAAAAAAAUCCUGAUAAAAUAGUUUUGGUGAAUUAAAAAUAAGAGUCGAUGAGCUAGAGGCUGGGCAUGGUGGCUCACAUCUGUAAUUCCAGCACUUUGGCAGGCCGAGGCAGGUGGAUCACUUGAGGCCAGGAGUUCAAGACCCACCUGGCCAACAUACAAAAAGUAGCCAGGCAUGGGUGAGGCAUGCCUGUAAUACCAGCUACUCAGGAGGCUGAGGCAGGAGAAUGGCUUGAACCCAGGAGGUGGAGGUUGCAGAGAGCCGAGAUGAUGCCACUGCACUCCAGCCUGGGUGACAGAGCAAGACUCUGUAUAAAAAAAUAAAAAAUAAAGUGGAUGAGUUAGAAUUGGGUUUCUAUCCUUUAUUUUUAUAAAAUGGAUCAAGGUUUUAACAUGUCUGAAUAAAAUUUGCCAUGGACAGCUGCCCAACCUUGACCUGCUCAAUCUCUUCCAGACCUUCUGCCAGAAAGUGGGCCUGCUGUGCACGCUUCAGGGUAAGCUGCAGCCCCAGGACUGGACAUUGUUGGACGAACUGCUGCAGGGCCUGCAAACACUGCUGCUCAUGAUUUUGUGGCAGGCUUCCCGUGGCCUCUUCCUGCACUACCAUGUGGAGGCCCUAACCCUGCGUCGCAUCAGUAGCUUCCGCCAGUACAAGUAUGACCUGGUGGCAGCGGGCAAGGCUUUGGAGGGCAUGUUCUGCAAGCUCAACCACCUCCUGGAACACCCGCACCAGCUGUUCUUCCUCUACCUGCUCCCCACUCUGUCCCGCUUCGUCUCCAUCGGCCUCUACAUGCCCGCCACCAGCUUCUUGCUCCUGGUCCUUGGUUUCAAGGCUCUGCAACUGUGGAUGCAGCUGCAUGAGGCCGGAGUGGGCCUUGAGGAGCUCAGGGGGGUCCCUGACCCUAGUGUCCCCGCUCCCCCAGCACAGGAUGGUAAGCACACAGGUCCCAGACAGGGGCUGGAUGGCUCUGAAGCUGGUAGCCCUGAUCUACCUAAUACUGCAGCUGGGCUGCAUCGCCCUCACCAACUUCUGACUGGACUUCCUGCUGGCCGCCACUAUGGUGCUGCCGCUGUGCUCGCCGAGCCUUUGGGCCCUGGACCCUCUGUGCUGCCCUGCUGGUGUUGACAAGCCCAGCAGCCACGCUCCUUGGCAGCCCAUUCCUGUGGCGGGAGCUGCAGGAGGCACCACUGUCACUGGCCAAGGGCUGGCAGCUCUUCCUGGCAGCACUGGCCCAGGGUGCGCUGGAGCACCACACCUAAGGCGCCCUGCUCUUCCCACUGCUGUCCCUGGGCCUCUGCCCUUGCUGACUACUUUUCUGGAAUGUGCUCUUCUGGAAGUGAGAUCUGCCUGUCCGGGGCACCAGGCUGGGACAGAGACUCCCCAAGGACCCCAUUCUGCCUCCUUCUGGGGAAAUAAACAAGUGCCUGUUUCAGCUGCUUUAAAAAAAAAUAGAAAAAAAAAAUGCCCUGGAAAA
ensembl:lncRNA novel transcript